rnacentral:rRNA from 1 species
GAUGAACGCUGGCGGCGUGCCUAAUACAUGCAAGUCGAGCGAACGGACGAGAAGCUUGCUUCUCUGAUGUUAGCGGCGGACGGGUGAGUAACACGUGGAUAACCUACCUAUAAGACUGGGAUAACUUCGGGAAACCUGAUCUAAUACCGGAUAAUAUUUUGAACCGCAUGGUUCAAAAGUGAAAGACGGUCUUGCUGUCACUUGUAGAUGGAUCCGCGCUGCAUUAGCUAGUUGGUAAGGUAACGGCUUACCAAGGCAGCGAUGCAUAGCCGACCUGAGAGGGUGAUCGGCCACACUGGAACUGAGACACGGUCCAGACUCCUACGGGAGGCAGCAGUAGGGAAUCUUCCGCAAAGGGCGAAAGCCUGACGGAGCAACGCCGCGUGAGUGAUGAAGGUCUUCGGAUCGUAAAACUCUGUUAUUAGGGAAGAACAUAUGUGUAAGUAACUGUGCACAUCUUGACGGUACCUAAUCAGAAAGCCACGGCUAACUACGUG